rnacentral:rRNA from 1 species
GCGAACGGGUGAGUAACGCGUAGGUAACCUGCCUGGUAGCGGGGGAUAACUAUUGGAAACGAUAGCUAAUACCGCAUAAAAUUGAUUAUUGCAUGAUAAUUAAUUGAAAGAUGCAAUUGCAUCACUACCAGAUGGACCUGCGUUGUAUUAGCUAGUUGGUGAGGUAACGGCUCACCAAGGCGACGAUACAUAGCCGACCUGAGAGGGUGAUCGGCCACACUGGGACUGAGACACGGCCCAGACUCCUACGGGAGGCAGCAGUAGGGAAUCUUCGGCAAUGGGGGGAACCCUGACCGAGCAACGCCGCGUGAGUGAAGAAGGUUUUCGGAUCGUAAAGCUCUGUUGUAAGAGAAGAACGGGUGUGAGAGGGAAAGUCACACUGGACG